AUUUAUCAAAAACAGGCUAUUCAUUCUUUAAGUUUUGGAACAGCAUCAUGCUGUGACCUUUGUCAAUGCCUCACUAAAAGCAUAGAUUCGUUUUAGGCCAAAAAAGUAUUAGAUUGGUUACGUCAGCUUCAUAAACAACAUCACCAC